CAGCAUCGUUGAAUUUUAUGUGUGUAUGUGUCUUAAGAGAAGACUUUCCCUCUACAUUUUGUUGAAUGGAUCCUGAAUUUACAGAAUGGUUUGACAUAAGUAAGGAAAAUCAGUACCAGUCCAGAAGCAAUGAUUGGGAAACCAAAUGAUGAAUUUAUCUUUGCCUUCAUCUGCUCCUUUUCCUGCAUAAGUGCCUCUAUAACACGGAUGUUGGGUAUUAGGUUGACGGUAGGAAGGAUGUAAAAAAAAUGGGGAGAUUCAGCUAUUGAUCUUGAUCAAAAGCAAGAUUUUCCAGAGCUAAAAAAUCUGAACGAUAAUUAAAUUUAAUCUCCUUAACGUGUAUUCUGAGCCUAAACGUUUUCUGUUACGUGUUCUGUUGCUUCUGCUUGAAACUAUGGCAUCCUUUAAAGAAGAAGUGGAUCUAAUUCCGUGAUUUAGCUCAGGUUGAAGUUUCCAAUUUCAGUUGUCAUUAUUCAGUUUGGAUGUUGAGAAAAUAGAGGGCAACAGGAAAGGAGAAUGGAAACUCUCAAGACUUUAUAUGGUUCUGUCUUAUCCGGAAAUUUUCUUUUACCGUAAUAUUGACUUUUCAGGGUAAACUACAAAGACACAAGUACAGUGCCUGUUUAUUUUUUUGCACCUUGGUUAUUGUACAAAUUUGAAGUACAGAAACAAAGGUUGGAAUAUGUUUAGAUCAAAUUCACUUGUCACCUUGUCGUUCCACAGGUGACGCAGUAAUGGUAGUAAAAAGCUUGUAUUGUUCUUGCGAUUCUAGUGCGAUCACAGGAGAAUCCUUAGCCUAUAACCUGUUGAAGUAAGUUCAUAGAUGUUGCCUUGCCUCUUUAUCACCAGUAAAAAUGUGAUGCCACUUAUCAAAGCUAUUAUGACAGUACUCAUCUUACCCCAUUUGGUCUUGUCAACAGAAAUAUUUAGAUAAAUGCAAAUGUACACACAGUUAUGGAAGUAUUGGAUAACCUAAUGCUAUUUACAUUAGUUUGUCGAAGAGAGAACAUUAAGUUAAUGAGAUUAAAGCAUUCCAAGAAGGUUUAUAUGCUUCAACUGUAAACAAUCUUUUCAUUUCUGAAUUCGUAUAGAAUCUGUAAAUUACUGCUCGAUCUUUCCUGGGAUGUUUAGGCCUUCUUGAUUUGAUUUCUUGUUGGCUCCUACUGGAAGAAACUUAACAAGUUGUUUCUUAUAAUUUUGUUUCCAUCCAUUGCAAAAAAGGAAGGUAAACUAAUUCAUUUGUCAGGGGCAUACCGGAUUCAGUAUGCUUCCUAUUGCUGUGCAAACUGAUGAGGACAGAUCGAGGCUGUAGUCCAAUAAUUUCUGUUAUCCUCUACAACAUAAAAAUCUGCUGUGGAGUAAGGAGAGCAACAGAAAGGGGCUUUUGAGCUUUUUACACGAACAAAUUACGCCCAAGUACAAUGAGGGGAAGGAAAGGAAGCAGUCAAGGAAGCUUCCCUCAGCAUCAGAGCUAAUUAAUUAGCAGUUCAGGGGAGGAUUUUCUGGAGUUCAUGCAUAAGCUCGUCUGGAAUUUUCCUCUCUUGGUGUAAUGUGGUUCGCCAUUCAAACUUGGGGACCCUAUAGUGCAAGGGUGUACGAUUGGGGUGUAUUGCACAAUCUAAGCCGUCCAGAGGUAUUUUUAAUGCUCCAAAUUUGUUAAAAGUAUCCUGAAGGUACCUGUGGUAUACCUUUUAAAAUCUGGACCAGUGAUUGUAGAGAUAAACAACUCAAAUCACACACUGCACCCUGUAGUGCAUCGGGUCCCGGGGUUCUUGUCAUUUUCUCAAUUUUUGUAUGUUUCCAAAUUGUCUACGUCCAACUGGCAAAUAGAUUAUGUUUGUAUGUGUGUGCUUGUCUUUUCUAACCUUUUUGCUUCACUUUUUCCAUAUUCUCUCUUUUGUUGUUAAUUAUAAGUGGGAGUAGCAUAUUGUUGUUUAAUUCCCCAAUAGAUUAAGUUGUGGAAACUUUGGACUCAAGCAAAAUUAGAUUUGGUCAUUGGCUUGGCUUAUAUGUAGAAAACUUACUAGCAACGUGGUGCAGGAGGUUACUUGCAUUUUGCCUCUUCUGCAAAUAAGUUUAAUCUACUCUUUUAUUGUUCUCUUGAA